rnacentral:rRNA from 1 species
UACGAAGGGUGCAAGCGUUACUCGGAAUUACUGGGCGUAAAGCGUGCGUAGGUGGUUUGUUAAGUCUGUUGUGAAAGCCCCGGGCUCAACCUGGGAAUGGCAAUGGAUACUGGCAAGCUAGAGUGCGGUAGAGGGUAGUGGAAUUCCCGGUGUAGCGGUGAAAUGCGUAGAGAUCGGGAGGAAUACCAGUGGCGAAGGCGGCCGGCUGGGCCACGACCGACACUGAGGUGCGAAAGCGUGGGGAGCGAACCGG